CUUCCAGGCAGCCAAGACCCCCUCGAAGUGGUAAUGAAAAGUGUAACUUUAGCCUCCCAGCUGUACGUCUCAAUCCAUAAUCCUUCCCCAAAAACCUCACCGUAGUGCCGCCUACCACUCCCAUGGCGUUCCCAGCCUGUGCCGGGCUGGGCCUGUACUCUGAUUUAUGAGGCAGUCCUGUGUCAUACUCUCAACCUGAAAAGGAUUUCUUCUCUUAUGUGUACCAGGGUGGUCAGGGCAGCUCUCUGGAAAGACAGAAAGCCCCGUCUCCCGGGCCUCAAUCACCAGAGAGUCUUCUCACCCCUCUGAGCCAAUAACCAGGACAUUUUGGACAUUACCAGAAUCAGACGAGUCUUCAGUGUUUCAAUAGUGGUGUGUUUCAGCAGUGCAGAGGUCAGAGUCCAUGCAACCCGUGCCUACACAGCCGCAUGGCCAUAAUUUGCUCUCAGGUCAGGCCGAGGGCCCAGCAGGCUCCCGGCACAGGUCACAGAGGGCCUCAACAUCCCAGGGAUGAGAUUCCAGACUGGCAUGAAGAAGAGUGUUUGAUGUGGACCUGAGCUGGGCUAUGUUACCAUGUUGCUAUGCCUUUAAUUAGCUCCAGCAGCUGCUACUUCCUGGUGGACGGGCCCUGGCAAACCGCAGUGUCUCUGUAAUCCCUCACAGGUGUCUGUUUUCUGAGGAUGCAAUCAUGAUUAAGAGACUGCAAAGUUCUCUUGGUGACAGUAAAAGUGCCACUCCGCAUUGUUUAUCUGGAUUUCCAGCUUGCGCAAAGACAUCUAAACCCCGGGAAAUUACCCUCCGAGGACGGACGGCUUGAAAUUGAUGCCAGAGCAGAAGAGCGCACCUUGCUCCCCGCUCUCCUUUGUCACACCCAGGUUGGUGGAUCUUUCCUUAAAACUACCAGAGAUGAAAAAACUGGGAGACUUGGCAGCUGGCUAGGGCAUACUAAUACCCUGGACUCAUUAACUUAAUGGGGGCCAGAUUCCCCGCGCUGAAUCUGCACUGAUGCCCUUUGAGUUUGCCGGGGCCACAGGGUGUGCAGCACAUUGAGAGCCCUGACCGGCAUAUUGAACGUAUUUUAAUGGAAACCUUUUUUAGACUCGCCGCCGUUAAGGCCCCGCACCUCUCUGUGUGAUCUCGUCAGAUAGCCACUCUAUCCUCAGAUUCAGGCCCGGAGAGGGGGGAGGGGACCUCGCGCGUUAAAUCAGGCCAGAGGUGGCCGUAUCUCAACUGAGGCCAUUCUUUGCUGGAGAUGUGGAUCCUGGAGACGUGGCUCUGAGUGAGCUUUGAUGUAUUAACUUGCCCCGCGUAGGACUGGAACAGGAAGAGGCCGACGUUCAGCGGGAUUGCCUCUUAUUGGACAGCCGUCUACAGAGUGUUGAUUUAACUACUCAAUUCUACCAUUCACCUAGCCACUUAAGGCUGCACUAUAAAAUUGAUUCAGUGCCACAUAUGCCCAUUAUAGACAUAAUUGCCCAAUGUGAAGACUCCACUGCCAAUCACUUCAUUAUAGGCAAGCCUCAGGAUUAUAUAGAAUCCAAUAAGGAUGCUCUGAAUUGCAAGAUGUGAAGGGCAACUAAAAAAGAUAUUGUUUUUGAUGGCAAUAUAUUGAUACCAUGGGAGGAAUAGAAUAUUAAUACAUGAAUUUAGCAUAUUUGCCCGACAGCAAAAAGAUGAAUUGAUAAGAAAAGAAAGCUGGUGAAUUUGCAUGACAAAAAAGUCCCUUUAGAGUACUAAUAUAUCACCCUCAUGGAUAACAGAAUUGCAUGUGCCAGAUGUUGAGAUAGGGAGAAUUGAUCUUCGAUGAUAUUAAGAUAUUAAGCCUUUACUAUUUUGAGCUUUAAGUGAUAUAGGAGUUAGGUAUCAGCAAACAAAGGCGUGUAUAUCUUUACUUGCCCUUAGCUGAGAGGACUAUAAUCUUGCUUUCACUUCUUCUUGACUGCGUGCUCUUGAACGCCACGAAGCAGGAAAACCUGUCCGACAUUGAUGAGAUUAUACGCGGUCAGGAAUGAGCGGGCAGGACUCAUCCCCGCGGACAGAAACACCCUUUAACCGCAGCAGAAUAAGUAGAGUGGAUACUGACAGGAAGAUGCAUCGUAUGAGACAGACAACGAGGCUCCAGCUGCCGAAUAUAAUGAAUAAACAGAAAUCCAGUCACGCUAAAAAUGGCUGACUCAUGUUCGCAGCAUAGGAGCGAUCGCAUUUCUCAAAUACAACUCUCUCUCUCUCUCUCUCUCCCGCUCUAUUGUGCCCUCGACGUGUGGCAAAACAACACCAUGCAUACCUUUUAAAGAAACCCAUGUUGGGAAACCAUUGGAUUCUCAUAGCUGGCUUUUGACAGUAAUUAUUUCAUGAAGUCUUUGAUUUGAAGCUUGAUCGCCACAGCUGCAACAUCGGCGGGUACGUCUUCUCAUUAGCGAUUCCAUAAGCAGAGAGCAAGGAACUGCUGUAGCGGCUCCCACUUACAUGCCUCCCACUCUAACGUGUGGUGGUAAUUUAUUCUCUCCACAGUGCUCAUCAUUCUGAUGCAACUCACACAGUGACAGGAAUCCAUCUCUGUGGUACCCGGCAACAAAGAGGGAGGUGGGCUAAAGGGAGGGCGGCGCACGUAUUCCUGCUACCACAAUCAGAGGGGAGAGGAGCGGUUGCCAGGCAGGUUUAGAACAUCCGUACAGGCCACAUUUGUGCCAGGCGGACAUCCUGUGAACACUAGAAGCAGAGCGAGGAGACGCCGACGCGACCCCUUCCAUCGCUGCUGCCCUUGACGAGUCAAGAAAUGGAUCCUGACAGCCUCUACAGCAUUUAGCACCACAAUUAUCCCCUUUUCACAGCCUGGCUGCAUUAAUGUAAACCACACCAGGCAGUAGUUGCCACUCAGUGAUGAGCACAAUGUGGUGCAUCAUCGCUGGGUGAGCAAUUUGGUUCAAUUGUGCUGCUGUGUGAUCAUCAGUGCAAAUCACGGCCUGCUCAUUUAUUAAGCAAUUUCUGUUGGAGAAAAUUAGAAGGGAGACUCAUAAUUGGGCAGGAGAUAGUAAUACCUCUAAAAGCAACGAUAAUGGAUGAUGUGGCUGACAUCAAACAAAAGGAGCAAGCGAGUUAAGCCCGCAGCAACCCAUCAGGGAGGUGUGUAGCAUUGGGAAUGAAGCACCCCCCUUUGGUGUCCACCAGGAUUGUGUGUGUGUUUGUGUGUGGGGGGGGUGAAGGGUGAAGGGAGGGGGGGGGGGGGUGUAGCACAGACCAGAGUGACAAGGACUCACUCCCUGGAUGCGAGAACGAGUCACUCCGUAGGACGCUCGCAGGAUCCAUCCGUUGGCCUUAGCUUGACCUUUUGCUCCGACGGUGGCUAAUGGAGGGCUGGCCCUCGAUCAAUGCGCCGAGAGAUUGGGUUCGUUCCUCGUCCCCUUUCACCGGGCCGGGAGAAGGGCCGGCUGCUGCCAGGAGCCACGCCGCGAAGCCAUCGACCCCGCCGCUCUCCCAUCCUGUGGGUGACAGCUGCGGUGCCAACGAGCCCGGGGAAGCCACGCAGCCCUGCCACGUAGGAAGGACAGCCGGCGACUCCGUCUCCGUGGUGUCGGGAGGGAAAGUCACUGAUGAUCUGUUCGUGAAUGUCAGAUCUCCAUGUAAACAACCCCAGCAAACGCUUUGCUAUUGAGUAUGUGUUGAUAUGGAUGAAAACUGAAGAUUUGACUCGUCGAAGUGAUGUUUUUUAAUGCCAUUGUAUCCAGAUUUAAUAUGUGGCUCAUGAGGGUGUAAAAGUGUUUUAAAUCAGCAAACGCAAGCUUCAAAUGGACAGAUUCCAGCUGCUUGAUUUAAUAGAAGUCGAGUACAGGUGAUUACAUCUGGAUAAUACCGUUUUCAAAAGCUAAAAAAUGUUUUGUCAGUAUAAGAAUUGAUCAAAUAAAGCCUGACUCCAAGUGUUAGAAGUUGUUUGCAUUACUUUUGCACUUCAAAUGUUACCGUAGGGAAUAGCUUUCUUUUUUCUCAUGAAAGUUGCACUUUACAACCCAGAUGGUGCACCACUGUAUACCUUUAAUCUGCUCUUUUCUGUCAAUAAACAACGCCUGCAUUAAACGCACAAAACAAUAUUUACUGUGAAUUUUAAUUGCAAAUACUGCAAUUCGAACAUGUAAAGAUAUUCAAAACAAUAGCGGCAUAAUACAUUCAGUCCAUAUGGAGCGAGAGGAAGAGACAACCAAGAGGUUUCGCGCCGAUUGUUCUUUUUAUUAUCAUUAACAGUAAUGUGAUUCUGAAGCCUCCCGUGACCUCCUCACAGCAGCAUCUCAUCUCAGAAGUCAUUCAUUAGAACAAACAGAAGGCUGGCAGAAAGACUGCGAGAAAGAGACAUGGGGAGGGAGCAUAGUGUAAAAU
ensembl:lncRNA